rnacentral:rRNA from 1 species
GCCAGAGGUUACUGCUAUCGAGGUUCGACUAAGCCAUGCGAGUCGAAUGUAGCAAUACAUGGCGAACUGCUCAGUAACACGUGGACAACCUGCCCUUAGGUUGGGUAUAAACCCGGGAAACUGGGUAUAAUACCCGAUAGGUCUCGAUUGCUGGAAUGCAUCGAGAUUUAAAGCUCCGGCGCCUAAGGAUGGGUCUGCGGCCUAUCAGGUAGUAGUGGGUGUAGCGUACCUACUAGCCUACGACGGGUACGGGUUGUGAGAGCAAGAGCCCGGAGAUGGAUUCUGAGACACGAAUCCAGGCCCUACGGGGUGCAGCAGGCGCGAAAACUUUACAAUGCUGGCAACAGCGACAAGGGAACCUCGAGUGCCAGGUUACAAAUCUGGCUGUCGAGAUGCCUAAAAAGCAUUUCAUAGCAAGGGCCGGGCAAGACCGGUGCCAGCCGCCGCGGUAACACCGGCGGCUCGAGUGGUAACCGUUAUUAUUGGGUCUAAAGGGUCUGUAGCCGGCCGGAUAAGUCUCUUGAGAAAUCUGGCAGCUUAACUGUCAGGCUUUCAGGAGAUACUGUCUGGCUCGAGGCCGGGAGAGGUGAGAGGUACUUCAGGGGUAGGGGUGAAAUCUUGUAAUCCUUGAAGGACCACCAGUGGCGAAGGCGUCUCACCAGAACGGACCUGACGGCAAGGGACGAAAGCUAGGGGCACGAACCGGAUUAGAUACCCGGGUAG